rnacentral:rRNA from 1 species
UGGGGAAUUUUGCACAAUGGGGGCAACCCUGAUGCAGCGACGCCGCGUGAUUUAGAAGGCCUUCGGGUUGUAAAAAUCUUUUGUAUAGGAAGAAAAUGACAGUACUAUACGAAUAAGGUCCGGCUAAUUACGUGCCAGCAGCCGCGGUAAUACGUAAGGACCGAGCGUUGUCCGGAAUCAUUGGGCGUAAAGGGUACGUAGGCGGUUAAAAAAGUUAGAAGUGAAAGGCUAUAGCUCAACUAUAGUAAGCUUUUAAAACUGUUUAACUUGAGAGAUGGAAGGGAAAGUGGAAUUCCUAGUGUAGCGGUGAAAUGCGCAGAUAUUAGGAGGAAUACCGGUGGCGAAGGCGACUUUCUGGUCUGUAACUGACGCUGAUGUGCGAAAGCGUGGGGAUCAAACAGG